GAUUGGUGCCUUCGGGAACUCAGACACAGGUGCUGCAUGGCUGUCGUCAGCUCGUGUCKUGAGAUGUUGGGUUAAGUCCCGUAACGAGCGCAACCCUUGUCCUUAGUUACCAGCACCUCGGGUGGGCACUCUAAGGAGACUGCCGGUGACAAACCGGAGGAAGGUGGGGAUGACGUCAAGUCAUCAUGGCCCUUACGGCCAGGGCUACACACGUGCUACAAUGGUCGGUACAAAGGGUUGCCAAGCCGCGAGGUGGAGCUAAUCCCAUAAAACCGAUCGUAGUCCGGAUCGCAGUCUGCAACUCGACUGCGUGAAGUCGGAAUCGCUAGUAAUCGUGAAUCAGAAUGUCACGGUGAAUACGUUCCCGGGUCUUGUACACACCGA
rnacentral:rRNA from 1 species